UGGUGGGAGAUUGCAGGUGUCUGGUUGAAUUAGUCUAAGUGCACCCAAGCUAGUCGGGACACUACGAUUAUUUAAAAAAAAAGUGAUAUUUGCCCUUUGGUAUUGCAUCAAAUCAUCUUUUUGGGGGCAAAGUUAGGGUUAUGGUUUAUGGAGUACUUUCUUUCUAAGUUCAUGGAGUCUAUCCUUCUAUAUCCAGUUUUUCUUUUCUUAAUUGAGGUACCAUUUUCUUGCUAUUUCUGUUUGUAGAAUUCUGGAUAUUUCUUAAUUUUUUUAAAAAGUUGCAUUGAUGUUUAUUCUUUGAUUGUUCUUUCCUUUUUCACAAGUUGGAACCUUUAAGUGUAUAUACUCGCCAUUUUUUCAGAGAACCCUAGCUAGUUUUGGAUUAAGAAUAUCUGAGUUUGAUUUGGGUGUGGCUUUUUUGUGAAAAUUGGGGUUGGAUUUGCUCCUAAUUCUUCUCUUUUUCAGUAAAAUGUGAAUCUUUAGUAUGGGGUCUAAAUUUUCUUAUAAAUUAUCAGUGGGUUAUCUUUAAGACUAGUUCAAUUAUUGUGAUCUUUGGUUUAUCCAAUGAGUGAUGGUGUUACCUAGUGGUCAAGAAGGUGGGUUGAGGACUGUAAGGUUUGGGGUCCAAUUUCCAGUGGAGGCAACAAUACUAGGAGAUUUGUUUUCUCAUCUGUCCAAGCUUUGAUUGAUAAGAGUUAUCGGUAGCUGCGGGGGUGUAGCAGGUAUUCGGUGGAAUUAGUUGAAAUGCGCGCAAGCUAGCCGGGACAAUAUGGUUAUUUUUAAGAAAUGAUCUUUGGUAGUGCUGCGAAUUGCUUUUUUGGGGCAGGGUAUGGUUAUGGUUUAUGGAGUAGUUUCUUUCUAAGUUCAUGGAGUCUUCUAGUCCUCUUGGAGGUAGCAGGCAUUUGGUGGAAUUUGUCGAACUGCUCGCAAGCUAGCCGUGACACUAAGAUUAUUUAAAAAAAGGUGAUCUUUGAUAGUGCAGGGAAUCACUUUGUGCACCAGGUUUAGGGUUAUGGCUUAUGGAGUAAUUCCUUAUUAAGUUCAUGGAGUCUUUGUCCUCUUAGAAUAAUUUGCAUUUGGGAAAACCUGUUAGUUAUUUUUUGUUGUUACGUUUGCAUUUAGGUUCAGGUGGAUAAGGGUUAGUUUUAGAAUACUUCUAGUUUCAGAGAAUCCUUGAUAUGCUUUAAUAGACAAGAUAAUUACCAGUAUUGGAAUGAAAUGGACUCAGUCGAGCUGAGCAUAUAGAGGAUUCUUGUCACAAAUCUUAGUUUCGAUGAGUUUUGUUAUCUUGAUUGAGUUGGGAUAGCAUUUUGUGGCAGAUAAUCCUUUCUCCCCCCUUUUGUGGAUAAAGAAUCUCUGAAUUUGUUACAGGUGUAUAUUUUUUGUGAGAUUGGGGUUCAAUUUGGUUUUAAUUCUUUUCCUUUUUAGUAAAAAUUGCAUCUUUGUUAUGGGGUGCUGAAUUUACUUAUAAGUUAUCAGUGGGUAUCUUUAGGACUAAUUCAGUUAAUCUGAUCUUUGGUGCACCCAAUGGUGUUGNNN
rnacentral:lncRNA from 1 species